rnacentral:rRNA from 1 species
CCUACGGGAGGCUGCAGUGAGGAAUAUUGGUCAAUGGCCGUAAGGCUGAACCAGCCAAGUCGCGUGAAGGAAGAAGGACCUAUGGUUUGUAAACUUCUUUUAUAGGGGAAUAAAGGUAUCCACGUGUGGAUAUUUGCAUGUACCCUAUGAAUAAGCAUCGGCUAACUCCGUGCCAGCAGCCGCGGUAAUACGGAGGAUGCGAGCGUUAUCCGGAUUUAUUGGGUUUAAAGGGUGCGUAGGUUGUUUUUUAAGCCAGCGGUGAAAUUUUGUGGCUCAACCAUAACCUUGCCGUGGAAACUGGGAGACUUGAGUGUGUUUGAGGUAGGCGGAAUGCGUGGUGUAGCGGUGAAAUGCAUAGAUAUCACGAAGAACACCGAUUGCGAAGGCAGCUUACUGAGCCAUAACUGACGCUGAAGCACGAAAGCGUGGGGAUCAAACAGGAUUAGAUACCCCUGUAGUC